GAUACACGAGUCCCGAGAGGAGGAGCGAUGGGCAGAGGGAUAUACGAGUCCCAGUUCUCGGGUGCAGAGUGGCGGAUCUGUUCCGGGAACUAAAAUAUGCGGCCUUGAUUGAGAACAGCACGCCCCACUCCUCGCCGCCUCUGGAAGCGGCUGCCCCGUCUCUGGCUGUGGUCACUCGGCUGCCCCCUGACCCCGCACGAUAAGCAGCGCGAUAAGCGGCGACUCCCCGUGGGACCGCGCCUGCCUUGUCCCGCAGUGCUGCUCUCAGUGGCCAUCCCCCGCUGCGGCUCUUUAAUUGUAUUCCUUUUAUUCUGCUCCAUACAUUCUAUUCACAUCUGGCCCCCCUCUCGGUGCAGCCCUUUUGGCCACACCUGUCAGAGGCGACAGUCACCCGCCGGCCCCUCGGCCCGCACCGCGGAGCAGCUUCCAGAGCCCGGGCAGCCACCAGAGGGGCUCGCACCGCACCCCCAGCUCGGUGCGGCUCUUCUAGCGCCUUCUGGCCCUCGGGGCAGCUUUUCUGGUGGCUCCAGCAGUGGCCAUGGCUCAGUCCCGCUCCAGUAUCGCCGCCUCGCCCGUCCCGCGGCGCAGCUCUUUGGGACGCCGGGCAGCGGCCACCCCAAGGGGCAGUCGCCCCGCUUCGUGUAGUCCCUUCACCGCCACCUCAUCCCGGGGAGAAAAUUUCUGGGGAAAUAUUUAUACCUAGCAUACCCCUGACUUCUCUUGCUGCUACAGAAUUCUUACGUAGGCUGAGAUUCUUCUUUGGAAAAACAAUCAGUGCCUGAAAUAAUUAAGAAUUAAUUAAGCAUUGAGUUGGUCUGUUGUUAAGUAAUCUUCCAGGCGUUUAUUAGAAGAAAGCAUAAUUAAAAAAAAUUAAAAAUCGGUCUUUUAUGUUUGUUUGUUUUCCUUUUUUAUUAUUAUUUUUUUAUUUUAUUUUUCCCCUCCCUUUUUCUUUGCCCCGAGACAUCAGACUUUGGGUUGGUUUGGGCUCGGUUUCGCGGUCCCGCCCUGUCCCGCUCCACACCUCGAGGAGUCAGUGGCGGGACCGCCCAGCGCCGCUACCCGGGAUCAAACAAUGAGCAGGGAAUUUUCCAUGCGCCCCAGCACCCGGGGCAGAGGCAAAUCUGCGGCUAUAAACGGCGUUUUUUAGGGAGUAAUGAAUGCCCAGUGCGGUUUUUUCCACGCAUAAUUGCAUAAUUUCUCCCUAUUUUUUUUUUUUUUUCCCCCAUGAAAAACCCGAAGCUGAUCAAUUGUGGGGCAAUUCGAUUUUUGGGAACAUAGAACUUAUUUUACUGUUUUAUCUUCCUUAUGUAUAACUAUAAUUCCUGGUUAGUAUUGUAAACAUUAUUUUAUGUGUUUUUUUAUUAUUUUCAUAGCUCUACAAUAAAAAUUGCAAUUACACUUAAACACGCAUAUGUCUUACAUUAAAAUGAGAUAUAAUACACUGAAACUCCGUUAACGUUGUUAUGGCUAAAAUACACACGACGGUGGGUUUUUACUGCACUUUAACCCUCCCGCUCCAAGCUGGCAUCUACAUGAGCUCCAGGGAACUCUGCCCACGUGCCACAUUCCUGCUUUAAUCCUUGUCUCCUGGAGCCCCCUCCUGGCCGCACUCUGCUUCCCCCGCUGCAGCCGGAGGGGUCAGAAUUCGCCUUGCCAAGGGCUCGUCCCUCCCAGGCCCCGGCUGCCGCUGCCUGCCUUCCCUUCUCUCCGCAAAUCCCCGCUGUCUCGCCCCUCGCCACUUCCAGGGAUACCCUGUCCAGGCUCCUUUCGGUGCGCGCUUCCCCGAGCGCGUCCUGUAAACAACCAUGGCCGCGGGAAGCGCCUUCAGAUGCCUCCAGGAGGAAACCACCUGCGCUGUCUGCUUGGAUUUCUUCCAGGAUCCUGUGACGAUCCUGAGCUCUGCCGGCGCUGCCCGUGGCGGUGAGCGGCGGGCGGCGCUCGGUGUCCGCAGUGCCGGGUGCCGCUCCCGCACGGCGCCUUCCGCCCCAGCCGGCGGAUGGCCAGUGUGGUGGCGAUCGUGCAGGAGCUGUGCCACCGGCACCAGAGACCCCUCACUCCCUUCUGUUACCGCGAUAGAGUCCCCGUCUGCGCCGCCUGCCUCUCGAAGAGGCCGCUCGCUGGUACAGGGUGAGCGGAUCCCCGUCUCACUCUCCCCCUGCCUGAGCGACGCUAAUUUCCCUUAAAACUCAGCUCCCAGAAUAUGUAUUUUGAGCAGGGGGAAAGCAUUUCCCUAUCUUUCUAGGGACAAAAAACCCCAGCAAACCAAGGUAAGCAUCUAGAAGCCAAAACUGAGGUGAAAUGCUGCAAUUUGGUGAUAGUUAAGUAUGAAACAGUACAGUUUUUUUUUGGGACCAAAACUAAAUACUGGAGAUUGCAAACUCCUGCUCUCACACAGCACCUACACUGUGAAGAGUCCUUAUUCUGCUUCUGGGUGCAGAGGGGAAAUGGGGGUCCCAAAAAGGGCUUUGGACCUGGCUGGGGAUGCAGGGAGUAGGGGAAAGGGGAUGGAAACUGAAGGGUAGUGGGAGCUUCUUAAGGCCUGGUGGCAACUUUUUUACAGGAGACCUUGGAGAGAUGGGCUAUCCCAGCCUGGAUAUCCCAGUGUCCACUUAUUACUGUGUGUUUACAUAAAUGUACAGAUAAGGUGAGAGUGUGCAUGCAGCAUAGCUGAAGUUCACCAAAACAUGGAUAAGCAUGUACGUAUCUACUUCAGUGCAGCUGCAGAGGGUGAGUAUGGGGCCAUCUGUACUGGCUAUAUCCCUGAUGCUUUAAGGGUCCCAGCCCCCAUCUCCUUUUCUUCCCUUCUGCAGGAGUCUAAACACCUUCCCUCUGCAGAAGCAGUUUGAAAAUUCCCUAAAAACCCUGCAAGAGGAGGACAAGAGAUGUGCUGGGCUGACUGAGGCAGCAAAGGACACAAGGCUAGAGAUGCUGGUGGGUGGUGCUGCCAUCUGGGUGCACCACAGGGCCAAACUGCUUCAUUCCCUCUCCAGCAUCCUUCUCCUUCUCCUUCUCCUUCUCCUUCAUCCCCCAGACUCGAGUUAGUGCUGAGAAGCAGAAGCUGCAGGCGAUGCUGAAAGGGCUCUGCCUGGUGCUGAGUGACCAGGAAUCACUGUUCCUUUCCUGAUUCCAUCGCUUGAGAUGGAGGUUGGAGGAACAGCAACGUGAUGAAGAUGCUGAGAUGUCAUGGAUCCAGCAAAGCCGUGCAGAGCUCCAGGCCAAGUGCCAGCAACCAGAUGGUGACCUGCUGGGGAAUGCCCAAACAAACUUGAGCAGGUAUUGGAGCCAAAAAGCAUCACCAGGAACACCAGUUUUGGCCCCAAAUGGUCCAUUUUUCCAAUCAUCUUCUCACCCUGUGUUCUUUUCCUCUGGGAUUUUUGCUUUGGAGCUGGAUGGGGUUGAAGGUUAACCCAAACUUGGUGAUGGUGGGGGAAUCUUCCAUCAUAUCGUGCAGGAGUGGGAGCCUCGCCUAGGGAAGUAGAGAUGUCUCAGUGGUUUUCUAGGAAUGGGGAAAGGAAAUUUGGGCAUUUUUUGGCAUUAAACACCCCAGUUCGCUCUCCUUGAGGUGUGCAGGGAGGAAGGUGCAGCCAUCACUGUUCUGAUGAUGUCAGAACUGGAAACAGAGCUUGAGGACUUUACUUGAAAAACCAACACGCUGACAGAGGCAGUGACACAAUCCAAAGGUGCUUGGAGGGUAAAAAUUGGCAAAAAAGGGGAAUUUGUUAAGCAGAAAUAGGAAACUGGGGUGGUUCUGGGAGGGUGAAGAACUCCAGGGUUGGCAGAUUUAGCUGGAAAGUGAAAGCAUCACAAAUGCUCAUUUAAUUAAAAGAAAAUAGAGGAUUUAUUCCUGAUUAGCCUUAAGGGAUAGAAAACUGAAGGUGGGAGGUGCAGAAUGCUGUUGAUGGUUAAUUAGCAUCCAAAUUAGGACAGUAAUUAUGUGUGGAGGAUGGUCAUGCCCCAGAUGAAGGGAGUUGUGUCUCCCACCUCAGGUGGUCUUGCCUUCUCCAUGCAACAGGGUUUGGGUGGAUGUGGGGAAGGGCCAGGGCCAGAUCCAGAGGUAAAAAUCUGUGGGGUCAUCUUCUAUUUCCAGACAUGUUGGAGUGCUCUUUGGAGAAAGACUCAGAGGGAUCCCUGAGUGUGGGAAAUGCAGGCACAGAAAGCUCUCAAGGCCUUGAGCAUACAGGCUCAGAAAUAGAUAUGGAUACAAAGUUUGACCUGAGACCUUGGAGAAGGCUUGGCACUUUAGCACAAUAACGUGAAACAGACAUGAAGCAAGGAUAGAAGUUUGUAGUUUAAGCAGAGCUAUGUUUUAAGCAAGCAGAAAUAUGCCUCAUGGAAGGGAAUAAAUCUGUUAACUAAGACAGUAGAAAAUUUUAAAGUUUAGCAAUAGAACUUGUUAUAAAGUAGAAAUGAAAGAUGUAGUAAUGUACGUUCCAGUAGUGUUAUAUGACUGGAUGAAAAAGAUGCAUUGUGGUAGAAUUGUGUAAGACAAAGCAAUUAAUGAUUGAUUUAUGAGGAUGCUAGUGAGCUUUGUAAAAAUUGUUGAUUGGCUAAGAAAUUUAUAAAAGGCAUUGUAGCUAUAAUUAAUACAGCUGCUGCUGCUGCUGCUGAUGACGUUUGAUGUAACAGCCUUACUGUCUUGCCCUUCCAUGAGACUGAUUUUGCAAUAAAACACCUUUUACAACGUCU